rnacentral:rRNA from 1 species
UACGUAGGCAGCAAGCGUUGUUCGGAGUUACUGGGCGUAAAGGGUGCGUAGGCGGUCCUAUAAGUAUGGUGUGAAAUCUCCCGGCUUAACUGGGAGGGUGCGCUAUAGACUGUGGGACUAGAGUGUGGGAGAGGAAAGUGGAAUUCCUGGUGUAGCGGUGAAAUGCGUAGAUAUCAGGAGGAACACCGGGUGGUGAUAACGUCUUUCGUG